rnacentral:miRNA from 1 species
UGAUCAAGUGGAAACUCAGCAAA